rnacentral:rRNA from 1 species
CCUACGGGAGGCAGCAGGGAAUAUUGCGCAAUGAGCGAAAGCUUGACGCAGCGACACCGCGUGUGGGAUGACGGAUCUAGGUUUGUAAACCACUUUCAGGAGGGAAGAAAAUGACGGUACCUCCACAAGAAGCCCCGGCCAACUACGUGCCAGCAGCCGCGGUAAUACGUAGGGGGCGAGCGUUGUCCGGAUUUAUUGGGCGUAAAGAGCUCGUAGGCGGUUCAACAAGUCGGUCGUAAAAGUUCAGGGCUCAACCCUGAAAUGUCGAUCGAUACUGUUGUGACUAGGAUACGGUAGAGGUGAGUGGAAUUCCGAGUGUAGCGGUGAAAUGCGUAGAUAUUCGGAGGAACACCAAUUGCGAAGGCAGCUCACUGGGCCGCUAUCGACGCUGAGGAGCGAAAGCUAGGGGAGCAAACAGGAUUAGAUACCCUGGUAGUCCUAGCUGUAAACGAUGGAUACUAGACGUAGGAACUGGAUUGACGGUUUCUGUGUCGUAGCUAACGCGUUAA